rnacentral:rRNA from 1 species
CAUGUGAGAAAUCUUGAGUUUAGUUGAUUUGAGAGAUUAAAUUAAAUAAUAGUUUAGGUGGAAGUAUUAUUAAAAGUAUAAAAUUAGGUAGAUUUAUGAAAAUAACAUUAAGUAAAUGAGAAAUUAUAUUCGAUGUGGAAAUAGACUAUAUUUAAUUAUAAGAUUUGGAUCUUUUAAAAGAAGGAUUAUUUUUUAAGAAUAUUGCUGCCAUAUAUUUGACUUAUGUAAAAUUUCAUUCCAGAUUGCCCCUGAUAGCUAAUGCGUUGUUUAAGGAGACUUAUCUAAUUUCUUGGCGGUUUUAAAAAUUCAAAUCUCUUGGAUUGAAAAUGAUGAGUAAUUUUAAUUAAUGAUAAGA